rnacentral:rRNA from 1 species
GAUCGGCCUGUCUCCUAUCAGCUAGUUGGUGGGGUAAGAGCCUACCAAGGCGAUGACGGGUAGCUGGUCUUAGAGGAUGGUCAGCCACAUUGGAACUGCGACACGGUCCAGACUCCUACGGGAGGCAGCAGUGGGGAAUCAUGGUCAAUGGGCGAAAGCCUGAACCUGCGACGCCGCGUGAGUGAUGAAGGUCGUAAGAUCGUAAAACUCUUUUCAGGGAUCUUAAAGCCUGUCUGUCAACAACAGGCAGGUCUGACUCUCCCUGGAAGAAGCCCCAGCCAACUACGUGCCAGCAGCUGCGGUAAUACGUAGGGGGCGAGCGUUAUUCGGAAUUACUGGGUGUAAAGGGUAUGUAGGCGGCCCUUCAAGUCGCGUGUCAAAGUCCAGUGCUCAACGCUGGGUGUGCACGCGAUACUGACGGGCUUGAGGGCUGGAGAGGUGAGCGGAAUUCCCGGUGUAGUGGUAAAAUACGUAGAGAUCGGGAGGAACACCAGCGGCGCAGGCGGCUCACUAGACAGUUUCUGACGCUAAGAUACGAAAGCGUGGGGAGCAAACAGGAUUAGAUACCCUGGUAGUCCACGCCCUAAA